rnacentral:sRNA from 2 species
CGAACGGAACCGCGGAUGGAGGCGGGGGACCCACCGGUCCACCAACCCUGGAUCUGGAGCCGCCAGGCUCCUUGGGGUGAAGCUGUGCCCACCACGGGCCCAGCCGGGCUACCUCUCCGGCCCGAACCCGACAGCUGACUUCGCAGGCGCACACACGAGAGGACAG